GACGAACCGUCCUAACGUUGUUCGGAAUCACUGGGCUUAAAGGGCGCGUAGGCGGGCCAGCAAGUCUAGGGUGAAAUCCUCCGGCUUAACCGGAGAACAGCCUUGGAUACUGCUGGUCUCGAGGGAGGUAGGGGUCUGCGGAACUUCUGGUGGAGCGGUGAAAUGCGUUGAUACAGGUAAGACGGAUAGCAGCGAAGGCAAUCUUCUAUGUAAUAACUGACGUUGAGGGACGAAGCCUUGGGGAGCGAGAAGG
rnacentral:rRNA from 1 species